rnacentral:rRNA from 1 species
AGCGAACGCUGGCGGCAGGCCUAACACAUGCAAGUCGAACGGAUCCUUCGGGAUUAGUGGCGGACGGGUGAGUAACACAUGGGAACGUGCCCUUUGGUUCGGAACAACUCAGGGAAACUUGAGCUAAUACCGGAUGUGCCCUUCGGGGGAAAGAUUUAUCGCCAUUGGAGCGGCCCGCGUCUGAUUAGCUAGUUGGUGAGGUAAAGGCUCACCAAGGCGACGAUCAGUAGCUGGUCUGAGAGGAUGAUCAGCCACAUUGGGACUGAGACACGGCCCAAACUCCUACGGGAGGCAGCAGUGGGCAAUCUUGCGCAAUGGGCGAAAGCCUGACGCAGCCAUGCCGCGUGAAUGAUGAAAGUCUUAGGAUUGUAAAAUUCUUUCACCGGGGACGAUAAUGACGGUACCCGGAGAAGAAGCCCCGGCUAACUUCGUGCCAGCCGCCGCAGUAAUAC